rnacentral:rRNA from 1 species
UACGUAGGGUGCGAGCGUUGUCCGGAAUUAUUGGGCGUAAAGAGCUCGUAGGCGGUUUGUUGCGUCUAUCGUGAAAACCUGCAGCUUAACUGUGGGCUUGCGGUGGAUACGGGCAGGACUUGAGUUCGGUAGGGGAGACUGGAAUUCCUGGUGUAGCGGUGAAAUGCGCAGAUAUCAGGAGGAACACCGGUGGCGAAGGCGGGUCUCUGGGCCGAUACUGACGCUGAGGAGCGAAAGCGUGGGGAGCGAACAGG